rnacentral:lncRNA from 1 species
UCUCGGUUGUCAAACAUCUUUAGCCUCACUGACCCAACUCCUUGCACUCGGCAAGCUUUAUUGUUUCCAAGAAGCACAUUUCCAUGCUCUUUCUGAUCAAGAUUCUCAAAAAACUCCUUCACCGGGCACAUGUGAUAGGUGCAGCCAGAAUCCAUGACCCAGCUCCUUUGAGAAUCUUCAGACAAAGCCACCAGAACUCCAG